GAUUAACGCUGGCGGCGUGCAUAACACAUGCAAGUCGAACGAUGAAACUUUUUUGAUUUCUUCGGAAUGAUUAAAAGUGGAUUAGUGGCGGACGGGUGAGUAACGCGUGAGUAACCUGCCUUAGAGAAGGGGAUAGCCUUUGGAAACGAAGAAUAAUACCCUAUGAAACCAUAACCUCGCAUGAGGAAUUGGUCAAAGAUUUAUCGCUCUAAGAUGGACUUGCGUCUGAUUAGUUAGUUGGUGGGGUAACGGCCCACCAAGACAGCGAUCAGUAGCCGGCUUGGGAGAGUGUACGGCCACAUUGGGACUGAGACACGGCCCAGACUCCUACGGGAGGCAGCAGUGGGGAAUUUUGCACAAUGGGGGAAACCCUGAUGCAGCGACGCCGCGUGAUUUAGAAGGCCUUCGGGUUGUAAAAAUCUUUUCUAUGGGAAGAAAAUGACAGUACCAUAGGAAUAAGGACCGGCUAAUUACGUG
rnacentral:rRNA from 1 species